rnacentral:rRNA from 1 species
GAUGAACGCUGGCGGCGUGCCUAAUACAUGCGAGUCGAGCGAACAGACGAGGAUCUUGCUCCUCUGACGUUAGCGGCGGACGGGUGAGUAACACGUGGAUAACCUACCUAUAAGACUGGGAUAACUUCGGGAAACCGGAGCUAAUACCGGAUAAUAUAUUGAACCGCAUGGUUCAAUAGUGAAAGACGGUUUUGCUGUCACUUAUAGAUGGAUCCGCGUCGCAUUAGCUAGUUGGUAAGGUAACGGCUUACCAAGGCGACGAUGCGUAGCCGACCUGAGAGGGUGAUCGGCCACACUGGAACUGAGACACGGUCCAGACUCCUACGGGAGGCAGCAGUAGGGAAUCUUCCGCAAUGGGCGAAAGCCUGACGGAGCAACGCCGCGUGAGUGAUGAAGGUCUUCGGAUCGUAAAACUCUGUUAGUAGGGAAGAACAAAUGUGUAAGUAACUAUGCACGUCUUGACGGUACCUAAACAGAAAGCAACGGCUAACUACGUG